rnacentral:lncRNA from 1 species
UCAAGUGAUGAACUGUUCUGCACUGUCUCUACAAAAAUCACUCACAGAGGACAUAUAAGCCUGUGCAUGGCUAUGAGAACACAGUGGAGAGCCAUGUAAAUAGCUUUUGCCUUCAAGGUGCCUGGCAGAAGCGAAUGAAUAUUGCUGUCAUGUACAUGCAAACGUUGUGAAAUGCUUCAAUGUUCCACAUCUUCUUUGGAGACCUUUAAGAAAUUCAUGGAACUUUCAGCAGUGAUAUUUACCACCAACAAUGUAAUCAAAUGGGGCAGCAAGCAAAAUGAGCUACUACUAAUGCACCAUGGAGCAGAGGAAUUUUCUCUUGCGCUAACACCACAACAGACCCAUUCUUUCAUUUGGAUUAGUAUUCACUACUUGUGCUUAGUUGCUUGCAGUGGAUACCCAAUUUGUGAAGUGAGCUGAGGUAUAAUGCAGUAUUGUAUACUGGAACACAGGGGCUGCAAAAGCAGAACUCACUAACAAAGUCAAAUGCCAUGAACGUCACAAUUGAUGAAAACUGGCCAUUUGAAAAAUCUAGAUAUGAUAAAAUUGUUAAAUUGAUGAGGAUGAAGAUUGGAUUAUAGUAUAUAUUCAGCAUGCAAAAACAGAUAAUCAGGGGAAAUGCAGUGACAGUCAAAGCAACUAUGGAAACAAUAUCCAUGGCAACAAAUGGCCUGGUCGGAAGAGAGGCCCAAAGACUGCCUGUGUCUUCCUGAUGAAAUGUCUGGUAGCCCCCUAGUGGCAAUGACCGGGUAGUGGCCCUCUGCGAGAUGGGCGCCUCUCUGGAGAUUGAGCGCCACUUCUGAGGGCCUGGAGAAGUUGACUUGUUUUGCAUCCCACGGGGUCACCCCCACCUCCCCCUUUCCUUGCACUCACUGACAUGAGACACAACGUAUGUCCACAAACAACUGCUGCUCCUCAUUGCAUCUAAAGCUCCGUUGCCGGAAAACAUACCAUUAUUUCAUGCAGCACUAAGAGGAAAACACAGCGGGUUAAACUAUGACACGCCAUUGAUUGUAAGACG